rnacentral:snRNA from 8 species
AUCGCUUUUCGGCCCUUUGGGUCAGAUCAAGUGUAGUAUAUGUUUUUAUCAGUUUAAUAUCUGAUACGUCCCCCAUCGGGGGACUACAUAUUAAAUGGAUUUUUCGAACAGGGAGUCGGAAAUGGGGCUUGCUCCGUCCGCUCCACGCAUCGACCCGGUAUUGCAGUACCUCCGGGAACGGUGCAACACUU